UAAAUUAGCAGUUCUUGAUGUUUGAAAAUCCCUUAUCGAAAGCACAGAUGAGUUUAAUACAAGGUAUUUUACUAAUUACUACAUAAGCUUCGGCCUAUAACUAGCUUGGCGGACAUCACAUGCAUUGCCAAAAUUCAGACCCAUGACGGAUAUUACGCUACCCUAAUUUGUACCCAAAACAACAAGGGACACUGUUAUAGUUAUGGAAGCCAAAUUAACAUUAAGCAACCAUAGAUGGAGGAGAGCUCCGGUUUCCAUUGCUGCUAAAUCCCAUCCCCAAAUUCAAGUCCAGCUCCACAUUGUUGUUACUGACAGUACCAUUUUCUUUCCCUUGCAAACCAAUAUUGCUGUUACUGAUAUCACUGAACAAAUGAGCCACCGAAGUAACCACUGCACACUUUCUUCCGGCCCCAUUGUUUGCCUUGUUGUUUCUCUUUCUCAACUCUGUGGAAGACCCAGAAGAAGUUGGCGAUGGAAUGGGCAGCACGGAAGGAAUUUCAAAGUUUGUCCUGGCUUUUGCACCUCUCAGUCUCCUCGCCGCCGCGUCAUAGGCACGCGCCGCCUCCUCUGCAGUGUCGAACGUUCCCAGCCAGUGGCGGCACCGCCCUAUACGGUCACGUAUCUCUGCUGACCACCUUCCCCAAGGCCUCUUUCUUACGCCUCUGUAGCUCCUUUGCAAGGGCAUAACGCUGCCGUUCCGCUGGUUGUCACCUUCAUGCUUGGUCUGGGACCCAGUAUGCAGAGAAAUGGAAGGUUCAGGAAUUCUAGCAUUUACGUUAGCAUUAGUUCCAAACAGGACAUGUUGACCAACGACAGCGGCAAUUCCAUCAAGAACCGGUGGCGUUUCGUUUUGGAUCUCGGUUCCUUUCUUGUCAACUUCAGGUGGUGUUCUCUCACUUAAACAAGAAUGUGAAAGAACAGCCGACAUAUCUGCCGAAACAGGACAGUAGCAUAUUGGGUCAAGGUGGUUAAUGGAGAAACCUGAAGAGAACGGGUACUGAGGACCAAAAAGAGGCGGAGAGAACGAGGAUGAGUCGGUCAAGAACCGAAAAGUUUCGGUUACUUGAGAUGUUUCAGGGACGGAGAAAAACGGAACGGAGAGCAAUUUUUGGCUGUUCAUGGCGUUUUGCCGUUCCACCGAAG
rnacentral:misc_RNA from 1 species